AACGCGAAGAACCUUACCCGGGCUUGAACUGCAGCGGAAGGAUACAGAGAUGUUGACGUCCUUCGGGACCGCUGUGGAGGUGCUGCAUGGUUGUCGUCAGCUCGUGCCGUGAGGUGUCGGCUUAAGUGCCAUAACGAGCGCAACCCUUUUCAUUAGUUGCCAUCAGGUUAUGCUGGGCACUCUAGUGAUACUGCCACCGUAAGGUGUGAGGAAGGUGGGGAUGACGUCAAAUCAGCACGGCCCUUACGUCCGGGGCUACACAUGUGUUACAAUGGGUGGUACAGAGAGUAAACUGCCGGCAACGUCAGUUCAAUCAAUAAAGCCAUCCUCAGUUCGGAUUGGGGUCUGCAACCCGACCCCAUGAAGCUGGAUUCGCUAGUAAUCGCGCAUCAGCCAUGGCGCGGUGAAUACGUUCCCGGGUCUUGUACACACCGA
rnacentral:rRNA from 1 species